rnacentral:rRNA from 1 species
GACAGAGGCCUCAAGCGUUAGGCGGAAUCACUGGGCUUAAAGCGUGUGUAGGCGGGUCGUUAAGUACCUUGUGAAAUCCCACGGCUCACCCGUGGAACUGCUGGGUAUACUGGCGAUCUUGGGCCAUUCAGGGGCAACUGGAACAAGCGGUGGAGCGGUGAAAUGCGUAGAGAUCGGGAGGAACAUCAGUUGCGAAGGCGGCUCUCUGGACCAGCACUGACACUGAGGCACGAAAGCGUGGGGAGCAAACAGG